rnacentral:rRNA from 1 species
UACGUAGGGUGCAAGCGUUGUCCGGAAUUAUUGGGCGUAAAGAGCGCGCAGGCGGUCGGAUCAGUCGAAUGUGAAAGCCCCCGGCUCAACUGGGGAGGGUCAUUCGAUACUGUCCGACUCGAAGGCAGGAGAGGGAAGCGGAAUUCCCGGUGUAGUGGUGAAAUGCGUAGAUAUCGGGAGGAACACCAGUGGCGAAGGCGGCUUUCUGGCCUGUUCUUGACGCUGAGGCGCGAAAGCUAGGGGAGCGAACGGG